CUGCUGCCUUCCGUAGGAGUCUGGGCCGUGUCUCAGUCCCAGUGUGGCUGGUCGUCCUCUCAGACCAGCUACUGAUCGUUGCUUUGGUGAGCCGUUACCUCACCAACCGGCUAAUCAGUCAUCGGCCGCUCCGCUCGCGAGAGGCCCUUGCGGGUCCCCCUCUUUCUUCCGUAGAACUCAUGCGGUAUUAGCCAACCUUUCGGCUGGUUGUCCCCCACGAGCGGACACGUUCCGAUGUAUUACUCACCCGUUCGCCA
rnacentral:rRNA from 1 species